GGUUAAGUGACUAAGCGUACACGGUGGAUGCCUAGGCAGUCAGAGGCGAUGAAGGGCGUGCUAAUCUGCGAAAAGCGUCGGUAAGGUGAUAUGAACCGUUAUAACCGGCGAUACCCGAAUGGGGAAACCCAGUGUGUUUCGACACACUAUCAUGUCAUGAAUACAUAGUGGCAUGAGGCGAACCGGGGGAACUGAAACAUCUAAGUACCCCGAGGAAAAGAAAUCAACCGAGAUUCCCCCAGUAGCGGCGAGCGAACGGGGAGGAGCCCAGAACCUGAAUCGGCUUGUGUGUUAGUGGAAGCGUCUGGAAAGUCGCGCAGCAAAGGGUGAUAGCCCCGUACACUAAAAUGCACAGGUCGUGAGUUCGAUGAGUAGGGCGGGACACGUGACAUCCUGUCUGAAUAUGGGGGGACCAUCCUCCAAGGCUAAAUACUCCUGACUGACCGAUAGUGAACCAGUACCGUGAGGGAAAGGCGAAAAGAACCCCGGCGAGGGGAGUGAAAUAGAACCUGAAACCGUGUACGUACAAGCAGUGGGAGCACCUUCGUGGUGUGACUGCGUACCUUUUGUAUAAUGGGUCAGCGACUUAUAUUUUGUAGCAAGGUUAACCGUAUAGGGGAGCCGUAGGGAAACCGAGUCUUAACUGGGCGAUUAGUUGCAAGGUAUAGACCCGAAACCCGGUGAUCUAGCCAUGGGCAGGUUGAAGGUUGGGUAACACUAACUGGAGGACCGAACCGACUAAUGUUGAAAAAUUAGCGGAUGACUUGUGGCUGGGGGUGAAAGGCCAAUCAAACCGGGAGAUAGCUGGUUCUCCCCGAAAGCUAUUUAGGUAGCGCCUCGUGAACUCAUCUUCGGGGGUAGAGCACUGUUUCGGCUAGGGGGCCAUCCCGGCUUACCAAACCGAUGCAAACUCCGAAUACCGAAGAAUGUUAUCACGGGAGACACACGGCGGGUGCUAACGUCCGUCGUGAAGAGGGAAACAACCCAGACCGCCAGCUAAGGUCCCAAAGUCAUGGUUAAGUGGGAAACGAUGUGGGAAGGCACAGACAGCCAGGAUGUUGGCUUAGAAGCAGCCAUCAUUUAAAGAAAGCGUAAUAGCUCACUGGUCGAGUCGGCCUGCGCGGAAGAUGUAACGGGGCUAAACCAUGCACCGAAGCUGCGGCAGCGACGCUUAGGCGUUGUUGGGUAGGGGAGCGUUCUGUAAGCCGUUGAAGGUGGCCUGUGAGGGUUGCUGGAGGUAUCAGAAGUGCGAAUGCUGACAUAAGUAACGAUAAAGCGGGUGAAAAGCCCGCUCGCCGGAAGACCAAGGGUUCCUGUCCAACGUUAAUCGGGGCAGGGUGAGUCGACCCCUAAGGCGAGGCUGAAAAGCGUAGUCGAUGGGAAACAGGUUAAUAUUCCUGUACUUGGUGUUACUGCGAAGGGGGGACGGAGAAGGCUAGGCUGGCCGGGCGACGGUUGUCCCGGUUUAAGCGUGUAGGGGGUGUGACCUGGUAAAUCCGGUUGCAUACUAACCCUGAGGCGUGAUGACGAUGCACUACGGUGCAGAAGUAGUUGAUGCCCUGCUUCCAGGAAAAUCCUCUAAGCUCCAGGUAACAUUAAAUCGUACCCCAAACCGACACAGGUGGUCAGGUAGAGAAUACCAAGGCGCUUGAGAGAACUCGGGUGAAGGAACUAGGCAAAAUGGUGCCGUAACUUCGGGAGAAGGCACGCUGGCAUGUAGGUGAAGUCCCUCGCGGAUGGAGCCGAAGCCAGUCGAAGAUACCAGCUGGCUGCAACUGUUUAAUAAAAACACAGCACUGUGCAAACACGAAAGUGGACGUAUACGGUGUGACGCCUGCCCGGUGCUGGAAGGUUAAUUGAUGGGGUCAGCCGCAAGGCGAAGCUCUUGAUCGAAGCCCCAGUAAACGGCGGCCGUAACUAUAACGGUCCUAAGGUAGCGAAAUUCCUUGUCGGGUAAGUUCCGACCUGCACGAAUGGCGUAAUGAUGGCCAGGCUGUCUCCACCCGAGACUCAGUGAAAUUGAACUCGCUGUGAAGAUGCAGUGUACCCGCGGCAAGACGGAAAGACCCCGUGAACCUUUACUAUAGCUUGACACUGAACAUUGAGCCUUGAUGUGUAGGAUAGGUGGGAGGCUUUGAAGCGUGGACGCCAGUCUGCGUGGAGCCAUCCUUGAAAUACCACCCUUUAAUGUUUGAUGUUCUAACUC
rnacentral:rRNA from 1 species